rnacentral:rRNA from 1 species
UACGUAGGGUGCGAGCGUUAAUCGGAAUUACUGGGCGUAAAGCGUGCGCAGGCGGUUUUGUAAGCCAGAUGUGAAAUCCCCGGGCUUAACCUGGGAAUGGCAUUUGGGACUGCAAGGCUUGAGUGCGGCAGAGGAGACUGGAAUUCCUGGUGUAGCAGUGAAAUGCGUAGAUAUUGGGAGGAACACCAGUGGCGAAGGCGGCUCACUGGACCGGAACUGACGCUGAGGCGCGAAAGCGUGGGGAGCAAACGGG